GUCUCCGUGGCGCAAUUGGUUAGCGCGUUCCUAUGUUAACCGAAAGGUUGGUGGUUCAAGCCCACCCGGGGACG
rnacentral:tRNA from 1 species